GAUGAACGCUGGCGGCGUGCCUAAUACAUGCAAGUCGAGCGAACAGAUGAGGAGCUUGCUCCUCUGACGUUAGCGGCGGACGGGUGAGUAACACGUGGAUAACCUACCUAUAAGACUGGGAUAACUUCGGGAAACCGGAGCUAAUACCGGAUAAUAUAUUGAACCGCAUGGUUCAAUAGUGAAAGACGGUUUUGCUGUCACUUCUAGAUGGAUCCGCGCCGCAUUAGCUAGUUGGUAAGGUAACGGCUUACCAAGGCAACGAUGCGUAACCGACCUGAGAGGGUGAUCGGCGACACUGGAACGGAGACACGGUCCAGACUCCUACGGGAGGCAGCAGUAGGGAAUCGUACGCAACGGGCGAAAGCCUGACGGAGCAACGCCGAGUGAGUGAUGAAGGUCUUCGGAUCGUAAAACUCUGUUAUUAGGGAAGAACAAAUGUGUAAGUAACUAUGCACGUCUUGACGGUACCUAAUCAGAAAGCAACGGCUAACUACGUG
rnacentral:rRNA from 1 species